GCUAUAGGGGCGGCCGAUGGCGGAUUAGCUAGUUGGUGGGGUAAAGGCCUACCAAGGCGACGAUCCGUAGCUGGUCUGAGAGGACGACCAGCCACACUGGGACUGAGACACGGCCCAGACUCCUACGGGAGGCAGCAGUGGGGAAUUUUGGACAAUGGGCGAAAGCCUGAUCCAGCAAUGCCGCGUGUGUGAAGAAGGCCUUCGGGUUGUAAAGCACUUUUGUCCGGAAAGAAAUCCCUGAUCCUAAUACGGUCGGGGGAUGACGGUACCGGAAGAAUAAGCACCGGCUAACUACGUGCCAGCAGCCGCGGUAAUACGUAGGGUGCAAGCGUUAAUCGGAAUUACUGGGCGUAAAGCGUGCGCAGGCGGUUUUGUAA
rnacentral:rRNA from 1 species